UCUUCCGCCACUACAGUUCUGGCUCCGAGGCUGCAGUUAUACCCCUGUCAACUGACCAACGAUUGUUUCAUUCUUGGCAGUUUAUUGUACAAUUAGCCAUUUCUAGCAAAAAGGAUUGAACGCUGCACGAGACUAGGACGCGGUUGUGGUUUGCUUUGGUAAAAAGGAAUGGAAUGGAAUGGAAUCAAUUCUCCUGUUCUGCUAAGAUCCAUCAUUUCUUUUGGAGGCAGUGUGGUCCAGUGGUUAAAGUCCAGGGCUUGUAACCAGAAGGUCACCAGUUCAAAUCCCACCUCUGCCACUGACUGACUCACUUUGUGACCCUGAGCAAGUCACUUAACCUCCUUGUGCUCCGUCCUUCGGAUGAGAUGUUAAAUCAAUGUCCUGUUAGAGUUUGGGGCAGAGGCCUUAUGGCACGAGGGCAGUGCACCCAGACUCUGUCCCUGGCAUUGGAGGUCGUAGGCCCACAUCUGUCGACUUCCGACUCCUACGAGGGGCUCUGGCGAAGUGGUGGACUGCGUCGAGGUGGACCUGGGCGGUUCGUGAAUGUCCAGCUGCAGUGGCCUCCCAAUGGGGGUGCAGCUCUCGGACGAACAGUAGUGCAGUUGGAGUGCACCCUGUGGACUCCUGCACAGCUGACCAUUAAGCCAUCGGGACCAGGGACAGCUGAAGGGGUCUCAGUCGCGCUGCCUCCGGUCUGUCCAAAUGGCCAGCUGAGUGGCGAGGGUUCGGUUAAACCCAGUCCGUCGUUGUGGUAUGGGUCUUCCAGAUUCCCAGCCGAUGACAGACCUCUCAGAAGACCUGGGACUCAAAGUUUCACCCCUGGUCACUGUGCAGCUCUUUGGGCUGAACAUGCCCUCCAGCAGUUUUUCCACAUGUGUUUACAGAAAUCUAGUUGGUGUUUUAAAAGAUUAAUCAUUGGAUACUAUUUGUGGUACUGUGAUAUUUUGCCAUACUAUUACACCACCCCAGUUGAAUGCUAUCAAUUGUGUAUUAGGUUGUCUUAGUACUAUAUCAAUCUAAUCAGUGAUCUGGAUGGUUACUGUUUGCUUACUUUGCUUGAAUUGCAUAAUAUACAUUUUUA